CUCCAACUCUGCCGCGGACACGUUUUACAGAACGAGAGGCGAGUUUGAAAAACGAGAAAAAAAAUGGGAAGUGGUUUCUUUAGCGAAUCUGAAUUGUGGGUGAAUGGAGUUCGAGAAGACCUAGAGGAGGAUACCUCCAUUGAAGAGGGUGAGGAAAUCGGGUCGGAUUCGGAUUUGGACGAGUCGGUUCAAAUGGGGAUGGAAAAUUUGACGAAGAAGAUGAAGAAGAAGAAGAAGAAUCAUGUUUUGCUUGAGGGGUUUGUGGAGGAUGAGGAUGAGUUGAUGAGGACGAAGAGCUUGACGGAUGAGGAUCUGGAUGAGCUUAAAGGGUGUGUGGAUCUAGGGUUUGGUUUCAGUUACGAUGAGAUUCCGGAGCUCUGCAACACUCUGCCGGCGUUGGAGCUCUGUUAUUCCAUGAGCCAAAAGUACAUGGACGAGCACCAGAAGUCGCCGGAGAGCUCGACGGCGUUGGAUUCGUGUUCGUCAGUGUCGAGUCCGAUUGCGAAUUGGAAGAUCUCCAGUCCUGGUGAUCAUCCAGAAGAUGUUAAGGCAAGGCUCAAAUUUUGGGCUCAGGCAGUGGCAUGUACUGUUAGAUUAUGCAACUAAGAAGCAUCAUCACUAGAUUUGGCAGACAAAAAGGAAUGCGUCUUUUGCACUAGUAACCUUUAGCCUUAUGGUGAACCAACGUGGCACGCGUUCGGGUAAAGAUGGAACGAAUGAACGACGGGUUGUUUGAUGAGUCUGACUUAUGAAGAAGAAGAAGAAGAUGAAGAAUGUAUCAGUGGGUUUGACUCUUUGAGAGGUUAGCUUCCAUAACACCCAACCCAACACCCCAAGUCUCUUUCACUGACCUUUUUGCAUAUGCUGAGGUUUUGUCAAUGGAAAGCAAGGGAGAAAUGUUCAUUCUUUGUUAUUCCAAUGUCUGAGUAGGGAAGUUCUCGGUUUUUUAUUUUGAGUUGUAGAUGGUAUAAUCUCUUUUAUGCUAUUCAACGACUCGAAAGUUGGAUCGAGACCAGGGAACAUGUCGUCCCUGCUUAUGAUUUCUAGUCUCCCUUCACGGCUUGAAUGCCAAUAGAAGAAAAAAUGUUUGUAUGAAUCGAAAGAUUCUGAGCUAAUGAUGUCUUUUGUUAUUAAGUUUUUGUGUUCACUA